rnacentral:snRNA from 1 species
GUGCUCGCUUCAGCAGCACAUAUACUAAAACUAGAACAAUACAGAGAAGAUUAGCAUGGCACCUGUGCAAGGAUGACAUGCAAAUUUGUGAAGCGUUCCAUAUUUUU